UUAUUCGCCUCUAGGCUCGUUGGUUUAGUGCGUGUGAUCUGUGUGUAACACUUUUUUUCGAGAAAAUGUCUGCUGUUUUGAGAGGAGUUAUCAGCAAGGCUGUGCCGAAUGUUAAGGCAAACGUAAUGCAGAAAGCCACCGUCAUAUCUGGCCCACCCAAAUUUAAAGUACCAAUGGUCGAGAAAGUUGGCCUGGGUGGUGUGAUGAUAUUGUGCGUAAUUUCGCCAGCAGCCUGGAUCCUGAUGAACCUUCAAGAGUACAAGAAGAGACCGGGGGAUGAAUAAUGUCACCAUCAUCUAGGACAUUGUGUGUUUGUGUGUUAUGCAAGGAGAAUACCUCAGAAAGUAUCUUGACAGUCUCCAGCCAUCAGGCACACAAUGGAACUCUUGACAAAGUACUGAAAAUGGUAGACACCAUAUGUGAAAUAUGGACCGAUAUAAUUGGCAUUGUUUGAAAUGAGAAUGAUGGAUAAUCAAGUUUGAGACCAGAUGUUGUAUUCUCCUGUGUUUAGAUAUGUAUGUCAUGGUUAUUUAAAAUAUCCUCACUGA